rnacentral:rRNA from 1 species
UGGGGAAUAUUGGACAAUGGGCGAAAGCCUGAUCCAGCAAUGCCGCGUGUGUGAUGAAGGCCUUAGGGUUGUAAAGCACUUUCGCACGCGACGAUAAUGACGGUAGCGUGAGAAGAAGCCCCGGCUAACUUCGUGCCAGCAGCCGCGGUAAUACGAAGGGGGCUAGCGUUGUUCGGAAUUACUGGGCGUAAAGGGCGCGUAGGCGGCGCACUAAGUCAGGCGUGAAAGCCCCGGGCUUAACCUGGGAAAUGCGCUUGAGACUGGUGUGCUUGAGUUCGGGAGAGGCGGGUGGAAUUCCCAGUGUAGAGGUGAAAUUCGUAGAUAUUGGGAAGAACACCGGUGGCGAAGGCGGCUCACUGGACCGAUACUGACGCUGAGGCGCGAAAGCGUGGGGAGCAAACAGG